rnacentral:misc_RNA from 1 species
UCAUUACUAAGCUUUCAUAAUUUCCCAUAGUAUCCAAAUCUCAGAAGUGACAUUCAAGCAACGAAAAAAUUCAUCCGUUUAUCCUCAGUCAUUGAUUCUACGAUGUCCUACAUGUCUUGUUUGGCUUCCCUAGGGUUCGAUUAGUCUGAACAGGGUCCAUUGAAUUAAUUCUCGGAUAUAAAAAUAUUAUGCUUCUAAACACGCGAAAAGAUCUUAACUCUGAUAUACGUCGAUGUAAUUUUGCGAGUGGAAUCGAUUGCACGCGUCUAGGGUCGCUGCGAACAACGUAUAUUAGCGCUGCACGAAGCGCACGUGUUCAAUAUAGGUAUAGGUCCAUCUAGAUAGAAUUUAGUGGUCGUCAGCUGUGACAAUCCGUAUCACACCUAAUUGUGGGGCGAGGUUAUGUAUGCGUGUAUGUACGUACAAUACAUACGACACAGCCAACGCGAGCGACGGAGAGCCUGUAAAAAUAGUGAAAAUUUAUUUGAAAUAUCCAAUGAAUUACACGAACUGUUGGAAAAUUAACCCUUGCAUCAAACGAUGGCGCGAAAACAAGCCUUAUCUCCGGAUGUUGAAACAUUGUUUUGGUACAGAAGCCAAGUCUCGAGCUGAAACAAAGAAAAAAUGGCGCAGUGUCGUUGGACUCGAAAUUCACGCCCAAAUUCAAUCGAAUUCAAAGUUAUUUUCUGGUUCAAGCACCAUGUAUGGUUCCCCGAUAAACAGUAACGUUUCAUUCUUUGAUUGUGCUACACCGGGAACACUACCUGUACUGAAUAAAAGAUGCGUCGAAGCAGGAAUACUAACUGCUCUGGCGCUAUCCUGCAAAGUAAACGAAGUAUCAUUGUUUGAUAGAAAACAUUAUUUCUAUGCAGAUUUGCCAGCAGGAUAUCAAAUAACUCAGCAACGUCAAGCCUUGGCUAUAGAUGGAGAACUCAAUUUCCAAGUAUAUACACCGGGUAUUCAUCCACGACCCUACAGCAAAGUUUCUAAAAUCAAGCAGCUGCAACUGGAACAAGAUAGUGGCAAAAGCUUACACGAUUUAAUAGCAAAAAGAAGUUUGGUCGAUCUUAAUCGAGCAGGGAUACCACUGAUGGAAUUGGUAUUCGAGCCGGACUUAUCAGAUGGCGAAGAGGCUGCUGCGCUAGUCAAAGAGAUCGUACUCAUUCUGAAAAGAUUGGGGACGUGCUCCUGUAAAAUGGAAGAGGGCGCCCUUCGAGUUGACGCCAAUAUCUCUGUGAAUCGACCAGGGGAAAAAUUGGGCACGCGAACAGAAGUCAAGAACAUUGGAAGUAUUAGGUCAGUGGCAGCUGCUGUAAAGUUUGAAAUUGACAGACAGAUUACAGAAAUUGAGAAUGGUGGUACAAUUAUUAAUGAAACAAGGUCAUGGGACACGGAAAUUCGCAAAACAGUUCCAAUGCGAGAUAAAGAAGAAAAGCAGGAUUAUCGUUUUAUGCCAGAACCAAAUCUUCCGCCAUUGCACGUACACGUCACUAAAGAAAUAAAAAAUAAGUAUGGAUUGGUUGAUGUUCCACUUCUGCAAGAAAGCCUUCCCGAGCUUCCAGAGGAAACACGAUAUAAUCUUAAAAAUAAUUUUGGACUCGACUCAACUGCCGCCAUUAUACUUACUAAUGAAAACAAUUUGCUGAAUAUCUUCGAAGCUGUUGUCAAAGAAGACAGUAAACGAAAACCCAAGCUUGUAUCAAACAUAUUGAUCAACCAGUUGCUAACAGUGGUUAACAGAAAAGCAUUAGAACUGGAUACUUGGUAUGGAAACACGUAUUUUGAAUGCGCAACAUAUUGGUGAAUUGGUGGACAUGCUACAAAACAAAACAAUCAAUUUAACUACUGCCGAAAACGUACUGGAAGAGUACAUAACUGAAUCGUCGAUGACUCCUAAACAAAUUGUUGAGAAAAAUAAUUGGACUCAGAUCACAGAUGAACAUCAAUUAACUCAAAUAUGCAAAAAUAUACUGCUGCAGCGAGCUGAUGUUGUAAAAAAGUAUAAAGCUGGAAAGACAAAAGUUUUCAGAGCUCUGGUGGGUG